GCUCCGGAUUAUCCCAAUGCCUUUGUUAUCUUAAUUCUUGGUCUCCAACCUUGCCACUGAAGCCACACGAGCUCGCCUCCAAAGCUCGCGGUCUACUGAGCCAGAGAUGGCAUCGGCCACCGCCGCGGCUGGUCACGGACGCCUCCGGGGCCGACGCACCCUGAACCACCAGCACGCGCCAUGGAUGCCCACACCAACCCACGUCCGUACAGGGGGGCCUCGUAGCAGCACCUUCAAUGGGGAUUGGGCGCUACCUGCAGCUGAAGGAGGCAUCGGCCUGCAGCUGGAGGGAGCAUCGACCUGCAGCUUGCCGCGCACACCACUGCGACCCACUGCCACCGCGGUCCACCACCUACAGCCGGCGCCGUAGCACCUAGGCCGUUCAACUAUGCCACCUCAGGCCGUUCAACCCCACACCGUGCUCCUCGUGGAUGACCCCCGCCGUCGUCGACUCCAUUCACUUCCUUCCGCUGUAUGCAGCCAGCUCUAUGAGCUACUCGCCUGUACUCUGUCUAGGGGAACGCUGUGAGCUCGUCACGCUAUGGCUGCUUCUCUGCUGGUAUAUACUUCUCUGUUGUUCAUCUUAGGAGAUGUUAAAAAAAGAAUCCUUAACGAUUGGGUCUGCAUCUGCAUUAAAGGGAGUCCCUUCAGAGGUUUGAUUCGUUAGUUCAUUUCAUAUCAUUUAAAAAGAAUUAACCGUGUAGAAUGUGAGGAAUUGAGAUUAGAGUUCAUUUUUUUGCUGAAAAAAUAGGAGACAUUUUUUAUCUCAGCAUGCAUACCAUAUUUACAGAGAACAGACAAUGUUUCACCAUGUUUCUUGGUUAUCAAAAUAAGUGUUCUCCAUCGUUUUCAUGAAUGGCUUAAUUGAUGAAAAACAUGCUGCUACUCCCUUCCGGUGCUAUGUGUGUGGAAGAGCAUCUCCGUGCCUCACCUGUCUUGUUCUUCUGCUCUCUAAGAUACUAUCUUAAGCUUGUACAGCUUGUCAGACCAAAUGAAAAAGGUACUAAUCUGAAGUUCAAAGAUGAUAAAGAAAGAAGAUGUGGGGAUCUAGGAUCUAGUGGUUUCCAUUAAGCCGCAGCCAUGGGCAUUUGCCCUGAUGUACAAACUCGGAUGACCUCCCGGCACCGUACCUCCGGCCUGCGACCUCCCCUUCUACCACGUCUCCACCGGCCACCGCCGCUGCUACCUCCCGGUCAUAUGAAACGGUGGUGCCGCAGUCCAAAUUGUGCCACACCAGCAGGACGGCUCAUCCAGGUUGUGCCAUUCGCCCUUCUUCCAGCAGUAAUUAGCAUGGCUAGCUGGGUAAUGCUAGCACAACUCAUCUUCCACUAUCAUGGCGAGAUGUCGUGUGUGUGUGCACACAUCUUAAUCAAAUCUUACUCUGUUAUUUAUAUGGCGCCACUACAUAAUCAGUUGAGAUUAGAUGUAACAUUAUUUGUGGAAAAUGGCAGCGGAUGGAUAGGCUCGUUGUGUGUGUCUCUGGAUGUAUCACUGGAAGUGUAAUAUACUACAGUCCAAAUGUUUGAUUUUCAGCAGGCCAAUGUGUUCAUUGACCAAUUUUGUGCAUUGUAAAAACAGUAGGUAAUGUUUAUGAAUCUGUACAGUAAAAAUAGUAGGUCAGCAGGCUAAUGUGUUGAUGAACCAAUUCAGUAGGGUGUAGUGUUUGCUACAAACAUGGCUAGCUGGGUACUACAGGGGUAUUUUAACUUGACUAAAAUGCGUCAUUGUGUGUGUUGCAGUGACGAUGAGGAUGCACCACUCUGCCUUUCGUAUUCGGUUUAGUAGCAGCAGUCCCCUACUAUUUGGUGCUUUCCCCCCCUCAUUUAUGCUCAAAAGUUUGUGUCUCCAGGAUCCUCCGUGCCACUCUGCUGCUCGCUACCCACAUGAACAGAGGGAGGGAGAAGUUCACCACAUGGCAGCGGAGAAGGUCACACAUGAGGUGCAGGGGACAGGGGUGUCGCCAUUCGGAAGAUGGUCUGAGUUCAUGAAGAUGGUCGUCGUUCGUGAGAAUUAGUGUUGUUGCUGGGUUGCAGUGUUGCUUCUUGUGAGGCCGCAUCCAGCCUGUAUCCUCCUCUGCCCGGGUGUCCGCCUCUGCAUCGCCGUGGAACUUCUCUGUCAUCCAGCAAAAAAAGAUCUCCCUCCUGUAGUUCUUUGCAUCUACUACAGAAAAAAUGCAUUGGCCGUAGAAGUUCAGGAAUAGCUAGAAAGGAACAACUAACGUGGAGUAACUAGUCCCGAGCACAUAUGCGCUCGAUAUCUGCAGCGUCGGUCAGUGCUUCUGGAUGUGGGCCAUUUCUUUAUUUGCGUGGUCGUGGGCUGCCAGAAAUUGGGCACUGUUUGCAAAUAUGUACGCCACAGGGGUAGGUGGUGGGCCACGGAGAUGGAAUAGAAUGGCUAGUUUUAACACGAAGGUGAACGACGGCGAGGUGAGCCGUGGAUCAGAAUCGCGGCUCCCCGUCUGAUCCGUUCGCUUUCCGUCUAAGACGAAUUGAAUGCAGGGGCGAGAGUCUUCUUCCCCAAGGGUCAUUUGGUAGCUGAUGAGGAGUGCGGGAUAGUGGUCUGGACCGCCGGCGGCGGGGCACCGUGAAGCUUCUGAUGCAACCGAUUGGCUGGUGGGGGAGAGUUUGGUCCCCGCCCCUGUGCGUGCGAAAGGCCAAGUUGUGGCAGGGCCGACGGCGCCGCGGCAGACAGCGGUGAAGAGCAGAUCUUCGCGGCGGAGGGAAGGGAGAGGUCACCGCCGACAUCGGAGCUGUCAACAGAGAGGAUGGAUCCUCAGGCGCCCGGAUGGAACCAGAGGAUAGGAAGAAGAUUAUCAAAAGCUUUUGCCAUUUAACACGGUCUAUAUAUGUAAUAUAUUUUAGUGUUUAAAUAGGAUCGUACUGUGUGAAUUCUAUACUCUCACCUAUACAAACAUUCUUCCAGUGCACACAAACUUUGGAUGGUUUUAUGCUUCCAAGCAAUUAAUCAUCAACUGAAUUAACAUGUAUUUUUUUCCUCCAGUUUGUUGUUUGUCUUCUAUCCAUUGUUGAUAACGCAAAACUUGUUACUGAGGUUAGCCAGCACCAAUCGUUUGCUUGAACCAGCUGUUAUGCUUAUAGCUUACUUAUAAGUUGAUUGAACCUUUUAUCUGGGAGCUUCACUGACAGGAUCCAUGUACUUCAGGACUGGUCAAUUCCCAUGUCUUUGCAAAUUUUGUUUUCACUUUUUCAUGAUUUAUAAUUUAAUUUGGUUUAGAAAGCAUGGUUGAGAUGCAGCCUAUUAACAGUAGAGGGUCGUGGUCUACGUAAAGGAUUACUAGGAUGGCGAGCCCACGAUGGCGCUGAUGAUCAGCUGAUCAAGCAGGUGAUGAUGAAGGCGUGGGUCUACUCAGUGGGGGCAGCGGAGGGCGCGGACAGUAAUAAUAGUUGGGGGCAGCGGAGAGUUGUCUGUAAUGCAUUUCCCAUGCCAUCAGGCUGUAUCUUUGUUUUUCUCCUUUCUUGUAGUACUAUAAAUACAAAUGUAUGAGUAGAUCUGAACUUAUAAUUUCUCUGUAACACAUGCCUAAGCUUCCUAGAAA